rnacentral:rRNA from 1 species
AAAGCCCUUUCGGGGGUAAGUAGAGUGGCGUCCGGGUGAGUAACACGUGGGUAAUCUGCCUUCGGGUGGGGAAUAACUCGCCGAAAGGUGAGCUAAUACCGCAUAAUGCAGCGGCACCAAAUGGUGAUUAGUUGUUAAAGCGGGGGACCCUUCGGGGCCUCGCGCCUGAAGAGGAGCCUGCGGCAGAUUAGCUAGUUGGUGAGGUAAUGGCUCACCAAGGCUUCGAUCUGUAGCUGGUCUGAGAGGACGGCCAGCCACACUGGCACUGACACACGGGCCAGACUCCUACGGGAGGCAGCAGUGGGGAAUUUUGGGCAAUGGGCGCAAGCCUGACCCAGCAACGCCGCGUGAGGGAGGAAAUCCUUCGGGAUGUAAACCUCACAAGCAAGGGAAGAGCGCUACAGGUCUAAUAAGCCUGUAGUCCGACGGUACCUUGCGUAAGCCACGGCUAACUACGUGCCAGCAGCCGCGGUAAUACGUAGGUGGCAAGCGUUGUUCGGAAUUAUUGGGCGUAAAGGGCGCGUAGGCGGCAUGUUAAGUCGGCUGUGAAAGCCUGGGGCUCAACCCCAGAGGGUCGGCCGAUACUGGCAAGCUAGAGUACGGAAGAGGUAGCUGGAAUUCCCGGUGUAGCGGUGAAAUGCGUAGAUAUCGGGAGGAACACCUGAGGCGAAGGCGGGCUACUGGGCCGAUACUGACGCUGAUGCGCGAAAGCCAGGGGAGCGAACGGGAUUAGAUACCCCGGUAGUCCUGGCCCUAAACGAUGGACACUUGGUGUGUCGGGUUAUUCAGUCCCGGCGUGCCGGAGCUAACGCGUUAAGUGU